AAGUCGUAACAAGGUUUCCGUAGGUAAGGAUCAUUAACACGUAUCCAACGUUAAACCCCCCUGUGAACCUUCAUUGUGCUCCCCCAUUCCGUUACUGCGCUUAAUUGUGCGGCCACCAAACUCGAACAACUGUUAACAAUGGAUAUCUUGGUUCUC
rnacentral:misc_RNA from 1 species